rnacentral:rRNA from 1 species
UACGGAGGGGGCUAGCGUUGUUCGGAAUUACUGGGCGUAAAGCGCACGUAGGCGGCUUUGUAAGUUAGAGGUGAAAGCCCCGGGCUCAACCUGGGAAUGGCAUUGGAAACUGGCGGGCUUGAGUGUGGCAGAGGGGGGUGGAAUUCCGCGUGUAGCAGUGAAACGCGUAGAGAUGCGGAGGAACACCGAUGGCGAAGGCAGCCCCCUGGGCUAACACUGACGCUCAGGCACGAAAGCGUGGGGAGCAAACAGG